rnacentral:rRNA from 1 species
GCCAGUAGUCAUAUGCUUGUCUCAAAGAUUAAGCCAUGCAUGUCUCAGUGCAAGCCGUCCUGUACGGUGAAACCGCGAAAGGCUCAUUAAAUCAGUUAUGGUUCCUUAGAUAGUACCCACGUUACUUGGAUAACUGUGGUAAUUCUAGAGCUAAUACAUGCCGACAGAGUUCCGACCAGCGUCGCGGCGGCUUGCCGUUCGCGACGUUCGGAAGGAGCGCUUUUAUUAGAUCAAAAUCGGCCAAGCGCAACGUUCGCGUAGCGUUAGUGGCCCGCGCAAAGACUUGACGACUCUGAAUAACUUCGAGCUGAUCGCACGGUCUCGCACCGGCGACGUAUCUUUCAAAUGUCUGCCUUAUCAACUGUCGACGGUACGUUCGAUGCUUACCGUGGUGGUAACGGGUAACGGGGAAUCAGGGUUCGAUUCCGGAGAGGGAGCCUGAGAAACGGCUACCACAUCCAAGGAAGGCAGCAGGCGCGCAAAUUACCCACUCCCAGCUCGGGGAGGUAGUGACGAAAAA